rnacentral:lncRNA from 12 species
AUGUUGUUUGACCAGCAAUGCUAUCACAUGUUGGUGGGUAGGGGCAGCAGCUAUGAUAAAGUUUUAAAGAGACAUCUACCACAUAUGUCUGGGUAUCUAGGGAUUUUUUUAUUGCAAUUAACAGAAACAAACUUUGACCUAAGGAAGGAAAAAAGAUGUUUUUCAUAUGAAUACAGUAAAAUUGAUGUUUUUCAUAUGAACACAGCAUAUGAAGGAAGAGCUGAACAGGCUCACAUCUGUAAGGAUAAGUGGGUCAAGCAAUGAGAAGGAAUACCAAGCUGAGCUUAGUCUCCAGAGGCUUCUACAGGAUCACAUGUCUCUUCAGAAAUGCCAUUUUAACUGAUGUAAGUGUGAAGGAGUUAGAACCCCAGGGAUUAAAUUUCUGCUGAAAUACACAUGUUUCUUGGGGGAAAAAAUGAGCUCUUGACCCAGGGAAUGCAAAGCCUUUUGGAAAACUCUUCUAAGCCUGAUAUGGAGGGUAUCAGAUGCCACUGGCCUUUCAGAGCCCCCUCCAUGUUGUAGGCUAGCAUGAGAUCACACCUGGCCGUGCUGGCCUCGGGGCCGGGGCUGGGGGGUGGAGGGGGGUGGGGGGGGACACCUGUCUUAGCUUGUCUCACAUAUACACACACACAUUCUUAGGCCUGGGAACUUUUUUCCCCCACAAAGACAUAUUUUAUGACUACAUUUGUAUUUUUAUGACAAAACAAUCCCACAUUCGUCUGAGAGGAAGUGAGGUCUGAGUAGUCUGAGAGACUGGACACCUGGCCUCUGCCAAGCCAGCCCUGCCUCAGCUCCACUCACCUACGAGGGGAAGUGCUGCUGGGCGGGGGAGACUUCUCCUCUGAGAGUGGGUCUGAGCCUGAGUGUUCGCCCCACUGGUCGGCCUUCCCGUGAGCAAGUCAGCUACAGUUGGUCACAUCAUAUUGGACUCUCAUUCCCUUCCCCAGGCAACCACAUGAUCUUGUUGUCACUGUGCAGGAGUUUGCAUUUUUAAGAAUUGUAUGUAAAUGGGGUCCUACAGUAUCAAUUCUUUUUUUUUUUGUUCUGGCUUUUUGCCUUCAGUAUAAUAAUUUUGAGAUUUAUUCAUGUUGAGUGUAUCAGUAGUCCACUUCUUGUUGUUGCAGCGCUGAACUCCAGGGUAUGAGUAGAGUACAAUGUGCUUGUUCGGUCACCUGGACACGGAUGGAUAUUUUGGUUGCUUCCAGUUUGGGUCUAAAACAAAUAAAGCUGUUAUGAAUAUUUGUGUACA